UUCCAGCAUAUGUCUUACCGCCUUCCAUUGCUUUCGGUAUGCACUAUGCAGACAAAAAUAUAGUUAAUGGCCAACUAGUUCCUCAUAUGAAGGACUAAUUAUCAGAAAUCAAAGCAAUCUUUAAAAGUUUCAAUGUUUACGACAACCCCUGGCCACUAUAAUUGAAGUCAAUAUGCCAAAACCUAUUAGAAAAAUAGUAAUUAAAAGAAGAAGAUGCAGCAAAGUGAAAAUGCAACAUACAAGCAAAAGUAAACAAUGCAUCAUACUCACCUUCAUGCUCAAAAGCAUGUCUG
rnacentral:misc_RNA from 1 species